rnacentral:misc_RNA from 1 species
AAACCUCUCACGCCCCGGGUCUUAACCGAACCGCGCGGCUGUGGACCGUGGCCGUCUGGCCGGCGCUUGUCGUCGGCCCGGCCGAAAUAUAUGCGGAGCGCCUCUGCUGCCCGCGACGACCGAGCGUUGUAGACCCCUCGCUUGAUCGGCGUGAGCGCAGGCUCCCAAACCUAUCU